rnacentral:tRNA from 1 species
GGGGAUUUGGCUCAGUGGUAGAGCACUUGCCUAGGAAGCGCAAGGUCCUGGGUUCGAUCCCCAGCCCCC